rnacentral:lncRNA from 1 species
AACUUAGUAAAACAGGAACAGGAACAAAUGUGGAUCCUCUGGGAAUGUUUCCCUGUUCUGGUGGACAAUGUUGCUUGUCUGAGUUCACUUGGAGAUUCAAGGAGCACAGAAGAGUAAAGACCUCUUUGUUACAUAGGAUAAGCACUUAUUUUUCCUUCAAAUUACACCAGGAUCUGAGUACUAUUAGAACAAAAGGAAACAUUAUUGAUGUGUUCAUGAAGUAGAAGCUUAAUCAAGACGUGACCAAACCUCAGAUAACAUCUCUAGACACAUUUACCACCACCACCCUUUAGAUUAACCUAGCCUCAGAAGAAACGUGCUUGCUGUGCUAGUGUUCUGUUAAUAAUUCAUGCCUUUGACAUUCAAAUAUUCUCUUAUGCUAUAGAACCAGACAACAGGCUUCACUGUUGGAAGACGCCCAUUGCCUUCUGUGGGUUGACUUGGAAGUUAUUCUGUUUCCAUUGUGAGCAGAAAGUAAACCAAAGUUCUCAGUUUCCAUUAAGCUUGCAUUUGUCCAUGCCUAAGGAAUAGCCCUUUGAGACUAUAAACGCCCCAAAAGACUGCCUAUUAAGGAGAGGCUUUCCCUGGGGAGAACACACCAAUUGGUUGUCUGAUGCCAGAUGGUCAACCCUAAAAACACACACACAUUAUACACACACAAUACACACACACACACACACACACACACACACACACACACACACACACACACACACAUAUAUAUACAUGUAAGAACAUUUAAUGAAAAAUCAGGUUGUGCUUUUGAAGGCCAGAGCAGAGGGUUAUAUGGGAGGGCUUGGCAGGAAGAAAUGGAAAGGCAAAAUGUUGUAAUUAUAUUAAAAUCUCAAAAUUAGGCAAAAAAGGAGCAGUUUGUGCUUUAUUUUAAUUAAAUAUGAAGGCUGGCUUUAACAGAGCUUGAAAUAUUCCUAUGUAAGUCAACCCUUGAAAAGACAGCUUUUGGACAUUAAAAAGUGAUAUUAACCAUUUAGAUAGUCAAAUUAAUUAAAAGAUAGAACAUGUUACCAAUCAUGUCUUACAAUAUACACAGUUUAAAAAGCCAUUUAAAAUAAUUACUAAUAAAGAGAUAUGAACAGGGAAAAUGGAGUGCUUGAGUAGUAUGCUUAUUUGUUAUUACAAUAUCACUGAACAAUUCAAUAUUUCUAACUAGUGUGAGGGUAAAAUAUAAAAAUGAUCAGUGAAACUUGAUCUCUGCUAUCAUUAGCAAUUCGAAUAAUGACUAUUACCACCCUGGGGUUAGUUUGGAUGUGACACUCCUAUUACUUCUAGAUAGUUAAUCUGUUGCCAGGCCAACAAAUUACCUACAGUGGAUGCAGAGUGGUAUCUGAAACAAUGUUUUCUUAGUAGCUGGAAAGCAUUUGUUAAAUUCCUUUUAAAAAAAAGACAUAUUCAGCUUUAUUUUUAAAAAGCAGUUAAUAUGGUUUAUUUUUUUCAGUCUUUUCUGACUUCUUGUAAUGCCAUCAGAGUCACCUUGUCAAUGGCAGCCAGCGUGUAUGUUCUGUAGUUGUGACUGCAUGCUGUGCCCAACUCAAUAUUAUUGCCACUGUGGGGAAGAUGCCAAUUGUGUCCAACAUAGCAUAGUGUUCUAGCUCAUAUUUCCUUAAAGCCAGGCACUUGCUGGGGACAAUGACAAUUUCAUUUUUCCUGUCUGAUCCUCCUUAGUUCCUACUUGUACCUCAGCACAUAUUCCCUGCUAUUCUUAAUAAAUUGGAGCAGAGAGCUGAUCACCUUCAGGGAUUUUCUUGUCUUGCUCUGUGGUUAUCACUUCCUGCCUGGGGGUCUGGAUAGCCUCUAACCAAGAGGGCUGAGCGAUGAGAAAGGCGAUCUGCUUAAUCCUUAACUGUGGCUUUCAUUUAAUUAUAGCCGUGCCCAUGAUCUUGAGAUGCCUCCUAGCCUUUAACACUCUUUCAUGCAUGCUAUCUUUUAUUCCUUCUGACAGAUAUCCAUCUAUGCAGGACUCUUCUAGUGGAUGAGAGCCUUGCUAAUUGCUCUCUUAUCUCAUCAUGAGUUUUAUACCAUUACAUAUGGAUCAACCGUCCCCUGAAACGCGCAUUAUGACCUUGUUAACUAAUUUUUCUAUUAUGACGUCAGUGCUUACGGAUGAUGUCAGUCCUGAUGGAUUAAGCCAUCUGGAACGUUACUGUGAUAACAAAACAAGUCAGAAAUUCAGUUUUAGGAGACUUCCCUGAUGAUGACGUAUUCCAUUUUCAUUUUGUAGUGAUCUACUCUGGAAACUGAUUAUCAGGAAUGCUGACUUUUCCAUAAAGCAACAGAUAUGGAAACAUGUUCUGUUUGUUGCUGAGAGAUUUCUUUAAAUCCUGUAAAUAUCAAGUUACUACUGCAAUGCUACUGAUGAGAUCUUGAGGGAGGGUGUCUACUUCUCCCAUUUGCCACCUUAGCACUGCUGUCUUCUGAAGAGAGAUCCAUACGUUAGCUAGGUUCCCACUGACUCUUUGGUGUUGUAAAAGCAAGUAAGUAUUUUUGAUGACAGUGUUGUUAAUAUGAACACAUUUCUGUGAAAUAGUGAACUAGAGCACCGCGUACCUCAGGAGCAUGUGGACAUAUGGAACUGUGUGUAUAAUUUUCUCCUCCUGGCUCUCACUGUGUCUCUGAACACAAGGAGAAGGGCUCCAAAGAUCCCUUUUCUCAUCACUGUUGGAACAACCACAGCUACCAGGCCCCUUCCAAGGCUAACUUGCUCUAAUCCGUAGGAGGAACGGCAGGCCCAGCUUCCAAAGCAAUGGCUGCUUCCACAAAAAGGUCGAUAAACCGUGAGUGGGACCAUGCAGCCAUGGAUGCAACUUCUGUGUGAAGGCCAAACUGAAACCUACCUGAGAGUCUAGAGAUUGGUGAUGCAGCCAGUGGCAGCCAAUUGGGAACUGCCACUUAGAGGAAAUGUUUGCUUGGGACCAAUGGGAUGUCGGUGGAGAAUUAGUAAAGGAGUUUGUUGCCACAUUCUCACCUGCUCCCGGAGUCAAAAGGGGACACCAGGCAGGAUGGAGGACUUAGGCAACACUAACCAUUUUGAUUUUUUUUUGUAGUUGUGCUUUUCACUGAAUUGGUUUUAUCUGGCUUUUGUCCCCCAUGGAUGGGUGACUUGAUUUUGGUACCUGAAGAGCAGCAAUGUUCAUCUCUUUAGUACUCAGUGCCUCAUUUGCAAACAGUGUUGAUAAUGUAAAAUAUCAGACACAUGUAGACUCAUCCUCAGCAAAUUUUGUUUCGCAUUGGUUGAUUUUGUAAAGAACACUGCCUGAACGGGCUCUGCUGUGCUGCCCCAUGCUUUCCUCUCAGCAGAGGAAAUGACCAUGGCUGUGGCUUGUUCUGUGUUGCUGCCUUGUGGGGGUUUCACGGUGGACAAUCAGGAAAUUGAACAAAAUUUUCAAGUCCCUUCAGAAUCCUCAGUCACUCCCAAUUUAAGUUGUGAUGCUUGCCUUUCACUUACGUUUUAGAACAUCGGAUAUUCUCAUAGUUCUGUCACUAGCUGUCUGUGUACGUGAAACCCAAUGGUGACCGUGCUACUUUGCUGGAGGCUUGCAAAACUGGUGACACAGAGUGUGAUUUUACUGUGCUAAUGAAAUGGCACGUUUAAUGCAGAGCUGUGAUUCCAAUUACUUGAGGGGAUGAGGAGGAAGAUCUCUAGCUCAAGUCCUGUUUAGGCUAAAGACUGAGUUCAGGACAAGCAUAGUAACUUGCAGAAACUGUC